rnacentral:rRNA from 1 species
GUCCACGCCGUAAACUUUGGAUACUAGGUGUUGGAGGUCUCAACCCCUCCAGUGCCGACGCUAACGCAUUAAGUAUCCCGCCUGGGGAGUACGGUCGCAAGAUUAAAAACUCAAAGGAAUAGACGGGGACCCACACAAGCGGUGGAGCAUCUGGCUUAAUUCGAUAAUGAGCGAGGAACCUCACCUAGGCUUGACAUCCCGAGAAUUCGCUGGAAACAGUGAAGUGCCUCACGGAACUCGGUGACAGGUGCUGCAUGGUUGUCGU